GACGAACGCUGGCGGCGUGCUUAACACAUGCAAGUCGAGCGGAAAGGCCCUGCUUUUGUGGGGUGCUCGAGUGGCGAACGGGUGAGUAACACGUGAGUAACCUGCCCUUGACUUUGGGAUAACUUCAGGAAACUGGGGCUAAUACCGGAUAGGAGCUCCUGCUGCAUGGUGGGGGUUGGAAAGUUUCGGCGGUUGGGGAUGGACUCGCGGCUUAUCAGCUUGUUGGUGGGGUAGUGGCUUACCAAGGCUUUGACGGGUAGCCGGCCUGAGAGGGUGACCGGCCACAUUGGGACUGAGAUACGGCCCAGACUCCUACGGGAGGCAGCAGUGAGGAAUAUUGCACAAUGGGCGGAAGCCUGAUGCAGCAACGCCGCGUGCGGGAUGACGGCCUUCGGGUUGUAAACCGCUUUCGCCUGUGACGAAGCGUGAGUGACGGUAAUGGGUAAAGAAGCACCGGCUAACUACGUGCCAGCAGCCGCGGUGAUACGUAGGGUGCGAGCGUUGUCCGGAUUUAUUGGGCGUAAAGGGCUCGUAGGUGGUUGAUCGCGUCGGAAGUGUAAUCUUGGGGCUUAACCCUGAGCGUGCUUUCGAUACGGGUUGACUUGAGGAAGGUAGGGGAGAAUGGAAUUCCUGGUGGAGCGGUGGAAUGCGCCAGAUAUCAGGAGGAACACCAGUGGGGAAGGCGGUUCUUUGGGCCUUUCCUGACGCUGAGGAGCGAAAAGCGUGGGGAGCGAACAGGCUUAGAUACCCUGGUAGUCCACGCUGUAAACGGUGGGUACUAGGUGUGGGGUCCAUUCCACGGGUUCCGUGCCGUAGCUAACGCUUUAAGUACCCCGCCUGGGGAGUACGGCCGCAAGGCUAAAACUCAAAGGAAUUGACGGGGCCCCGCACAAGCGGCGGAGCAUGCGGAUUAAUUCGAUGCAACGCGUAGAACCUUACCUGGGUUUGACAUGGAUCGGGAGUGCUCAGAGAUGGGUGUGCCUCUUCUGGGGUCGGUUCACAGGUGGUGCAUGGCUGUCGUCAGCUCGUGUCGUGAGAUGUUGGGUUAAGUCCCGCAACGAGCGCAACCCUUGUUCACUGUUGCCAGCACGUUAUGGUGGGGACUCAGUGGAGACCGCCGGGGUCAACUCGGAGGAAGGUGGGGAUGACGUCAAGUCAUCAUGCCCCUUAUGUCCAGGGCUUCACGCAUGCUACAAUGGCUGGUACAGAGAGUGGCGAGCCUGUGAGGGUGAGCGAAUCUCGGAAAGCCGGUCUCAGUUCGGAUUGGGGUCUGCAACUCGACCUCAUGAAGUCGGAGUCGCUAGUAAUCGCAGAUCAGCAACGCUGCGGUGAAUACGUUCCCGGGGC
rnacentral:rRNA from 1 species